rnacentral:tRNA from 3 species
CGCGGGAUGGAGCAGUCUGGUAGCUCGUCGGGCUCAUAACCCGAAGGUCGUCGGUUCAAAUCCGGCUUCCGCAACCA